GUGCCUUGAGAUCGAAGCAUUAGGCUGCUUCGAGAUAAGAGUGACCAACAUUUUCUUCCACUCUUCUGAAGUGCCCCUAGACUUGAAAGCUAGCUCCAUCGCCUCCACCACCUCCUCUAUGACAAUAGACCAAUACUAGCAGAAAAAAAGUGGGGGGAACCCAUCUAGUCUCGAGGUCUUAUCCUCCUCUAGGGAUCAGAGGGCCCCAUGCACCUUCUCAGCAGAUACUAGGUGAAUUAGGGCCACAUUGUCCUGAUCAAAGAUG
rnacentral:lncRNA from 1 species